rnacentral:rRNA from 1 species
AUGACGUGCUGCAGGCAUUCGCCGAUCUCUUCGGCUGGCGCAUCCCCAAGCUGCUCGACCCGCCUGUCAACUCGCCCUUCCCCCUGCCUCGCGCUGUCGAGGCCUAGUGGCUGCCUAGGCCACCGCAGGACUCCACCUCUCUCCAUGGAUCACAACCUUCGCACUGUAUUUUGGAACGUGCGUGGCCUUAAUGCCCCGGCCAAGCGCACCGCCGUUCGCAGCAUGAUCUCCGCUGCCUCGCCUUGUAUUGUUUGCAUCCAAGAGACUAAGAUGGUUUCUCUCUCGUCCUCGCUUGUCACUGAGACGCUCGGCUCGUCCUUCUUUGAGUUUUUCUUCCUUCCCGCGGAUGGGACCCGUGGGUGUAUCCUGCUUGCUUGGUGCUCGGACAUGAUCGCGCUUUCCGAUCCAUGCCGCGGCGAACACCACAUCACUGCGCUGGCCUCUUCUCUCGAUGGCGCCCACCACUGGUGGCUCACUGGCGUUUAUGGCCCGCAAGGUGAUGAUGACAAGAUCGCUUUCCUCGGUGACCUCAGUGAGGUCCGAUCGUUGCGUGCUGGCCCUUGGAUCCUAGGAGGCGACUUUAACAUGAUCUCAGGGGCAGCGGACAAGAAUAACUCCCGGCUCAACCACCGGGUCAUGUCGCGGUUCCGCCGCUUCCUCGCCGAUGAGGAACUGCGUGAUAUCUACCUGCACGGGCGACGAUAUACUUGGUCAAACGAACGCGGCACCCCCACCCUCACGCGCAUUGACCGGGUGAUCUCUAAUUCUGCAUGGGAAGCGCUCCACCCGCAUUGCAUGCUACGCUGCCUCUCCUCCGCAGCGUCCGAUCAUGCACCUCUCCUUCUCGACUGCACUGCGCGCUCGCCUGGCACGCGGAGAUUCCACUUCGAAAGAUUCUGGCCGCGCACUGAUGGCUGCACGCAGGUCGUGCUCGAGGCCUGGGCCACUGCGGCCGAUGAGCCGGACCCCUUCCGCAGGUUGGUGGCACGCCUCAAGAACACUGCGCGGCGUCUCCAAAGCUGGAGCACAAAGAAGAUUGGGGACGUGUCCCGACAGCUCCUCGUCGCUCGUGAGCUGAUUGCGUGCCUGGAUGCGGCGCAGGACUUCCGGCCCCUUUCCCCGGCCGAGGCCUGGCUGCGUAGGCGCCUCAAAGGGGCGUACCUGGGGCUGGUGUCGCUCGAGCGCUCGAUCUCGCGCCAGCGUGUCAGGCUAUCCUGGUUGCGGGACGACGACGCGGGUCAGAAGUUCUUCAGGGUGCAUGCAGCACACCGCAAGCAGAAGAACCGGAUCGUCGAGUUGCAGGUCGGAGACACAUCCGUCUCCGACCCGGCCGCUCUUGCUGAAGCUGCUUACGGUCACUUCUGCGGCAUCCUUGGAUCGGCGAAGCCGCGGCCUUUCUCCUUAGACCUCUCCGCGCUCCACGUUGGGCCAUUUGACCUCUCCAGCCUCGACGCACCUUUCUCCGAGGACGAGAUCUGGGCUGCGGUCAAAAGCUUACCGCUCGGGAAGGCGCCCGGCCCCGAUGGCUUCACCGCCGAAUUCCUCCGGAGUGCGUGGGACGUGAUCAAGCAUGACAUAUGCGCCGUCUUUGAUAAGCUAUCCGCACUCAACGGACGCUGUUUCCAGAGGCUCAACGAGGCGCUCCUCACCCUCCUUCCGAAGAAGCAAGAUGCGGCAUCUCUCUUGGACUAUCGCCCCAUUAGUCUCAUCCAUCUCAUUGCGAAGCUGUUCGCGAAGGCGCUCUCUCUUCGGCUGGCACCCCACCUGGGCAAGAUGGUUUCUACCAAUCGAAGUGCAUUCAUCGCCGGCCGAAGCAUCCACGACAACUUCCUCCAUGUCCAACAGAUGGCUAGACUUCUUCACAACCUCAAGAUGCCGCGGAUGCUCCUCAAGCUCGACAUCGCGAGGGCUUUCGACUCGGUGGCAUGGCCCUUUCUGCUGGACAUGCUAAAGCACCUAGGCUUUGGAGACCGAUGGUGCGAAUGGAUCUCCAUCCUGCUCUCUACCGCAUCGACACGUGUGCUUGUCAAUGGCAUCCCCGGGCCACCAAUUCUUCACGCGUGCGGGCUACGGCAAGGGGACCCCAUUUCCCCAAUGCUCUUCGUCAUCAUCAUCGACGUGCUCAACUCGCUCCUUCAGCGAGCCGUCGAGCGCGGCCUCCUCCAGCGGCUGACCGCGCGGCACCUGCCUUCGAGCGUCUCCCUCUACGCUGACGAUGUCGUCAUCUUCAGCCACCCCGACACCCAUGACAUCCGCGCCAUUCGCCGUAUAUUGGACGUCUUCGGCAAGGCAUCCGGGCUCUGCACAAACCUCGCCAAGUGCUCGGCCUCCCCAAUACGCUGCGACGAGGGGCACAUUGCCACGAUCACGACUGAGAUGGCCUGCCCGAUCGCUCACUUCCCGGUGAAGUACCUCGGCCUCCCGCUUUCCCUCCGUAAGCCCUCGACAGUCGACCUUAUGCCGCUCGUCGACAAGCUCGAGAGGAAGCUAUCUACUUGGCUGGGAUCCAUGCUCUCCUUGGGGGAUCGUCUCGCGCUCUGUCGGCACGUCCUCUGCGCCAUGCCCAUCCACAUCCUCGUCGCCAUUGCCGUCAACAAGUCCAUCCUUGCUCGAGUCAACCGGAUCAUUCGAAGCUUCCUUUGGGUUGGCCGCAAGGAUGCGCGUGGAGGGCAAUGCCGAGUGAACUGGGAUCGGGUGUGUCGCCCCACCUUCCUCGGUGGCUUGGGGAUACGCGACCUGCAGCACGCUGGCGUCGCCCUGCGCACCCGAUGGCUCUGGCUCCAGCGUAUUGAUGGUUCGCACCCCUGGAGUCAACUGCACCUCCCCCAUGGCCCUGCGGCCUCACAGAUUUUCAGAGCCUCCACCACCUGGGAGGUGCGUGAUGGUCGCACCUGCAAGUUCUGGACUGACCCUUGGAUUGAUGGCAAGGCCAUCCCUGAGCUUGCCCCUCUCGUGUUCUCCCUGGUCUCCAGACGGCAUCGCCGUGAUCGAACGGUGGCCGAGGGACUUCCUGAGCGUGCCUGGGUGCGCGACAUUGCCGGCGCGCUCGGCCCGGCCGCCCUGCUUCAAUACGUCGACCUUUGGCGCAUGCUACAAAACGCUACCCUCUCGGCUGGGCCUGAUGUGCUACGAUGGAAGUGGACGGAGUCUGGCGUCUACUCCGCCAAAUCCUGCUACCUUGCGCUCUUUCAUGGAUCUACGACCGACGCAUCCUGGAAGCUCACCUGGAAGACUUGGGCCCCCUUACGCAUCAAGGUAUUCAUCUGGCUUGCUUUGCAGGACCGAUGCUGGACGGCCGACCGCCUUGCCCGGCGAGGGCUGCCCCACAAUGACAGUUGCGUGCUGUGCGACCAGACCACUGAGGACAUGCACCACUUGUUCACCUCCUGCCCCUUCUCCCGCCAAAUUUGGCAUGAGGUCCUUUCUUGGUGCCGAUCGACUGCCACGAUCCCAAACCCCGACACACCGUUCGCGGAUUGGUGGAUAGAUACUUGCACUUCAUCACCCACGGCUCUGCGGAAGGGACUCUGCUCCAUCAUCGCUCUCACCGCAUGGGCCAUCUGGAAGCACCGGAAUGGAUGCGUGUUUGAUCAGCGGCAACCCUCGGUCGCAGCUCUACUGCAAUCCAUUCAAGAAGACGCUCACCUGUGGGUUAGUGCCGGCGCCAACGGCUUGGCGAACUUGAUACCUGAGAUUUAG